CACAGCAAGGCAGGAUCUAAGCUCUGCCUGCUUCCUACACCAUAGUUCAUGGCAACUCAGGAUCCUUAACUCAUUGAGCAAGGCCAGGGAUGGAACCCUAUCCUCAUGGGUACUGGUUGGGUUUGUUACCACUGAGCCACAACAGGAACUCCUCUUGCAUUCUCUUUUCUAUAGUGGCUCCUGCCUUGGGCCAGUCCCAACUGGGGAAUCACUAGCGGUGGCCUCCCUAAGGGAGAAAGAGAGCAAGGAGAGAAAGCCAAUGCCAGAGAAAGCCAAUACCUCCAUUUCACCCCUUUCUAUUUCCCUAAGCAACGCCACAAGUCCUAGUGAGCUUGUCAGCAACAUGAGGAAAUGGCUCAUGGUGUUUCUAAGGGGACAAACUCUGGUGGGUUAGGAAUGUUGAACAGCCAUGGAAAGAAAAGCAGAACAGCCAACCCCAAGGGUCAAUGAAAUACUUUACUAGGCUUUACUUUAAGCUUUACUAGGGAACUGGCAGCUUUUUCCUGAUCAAAGUCUGACUUCAGGGUUUGUAAACAAAGGACAACACCCAACUCUCAAACUCCUCAUCAGUCUUUACCCACCCCCCCAGCAGCAGCUGGAGCAGGGGUGAUUCUAUCCCACAGAAGGCUGGCGCCCACUCAGUGCCACUGCCCUGGGAACCAUGCACUCCCUACCAUCCUGCACUGGGGUUUUGAACAGAUUUCCCCCAGCGGAAGAUGCUACAUGGGAAAGGUGGGUUUCCUGGGCUCCUGAAGCUGGAUGGUAUUGAAGGUACGCAUACCUAGUCUAGAAGUGGAAACACAGGGUCAAGCCCACCGUUUCAAACCACCUAACACAUUAGUUUCAGAUUCUGAGCUAGAAUCACGGUCCCUUUACCACGACUCCACUAUGAAUGAACUGGACUUUGAGGGUGAAUCUGAGGCUCAGAACACUUUGGCUUACAUAAUUUACAUGAGAGGAUAAAGCAUGUGGAAUAGCAAACGAUCAGUUCUGCUAACAUUAUUCAUAGGGGACAACCCGUACUGGAUCUUCAGCGUUCUUGGUCAACCUCUUCCUCUAAAUGCCUCCAGCAUGUCUUCCUAGUAUUGAAUAAACAUCAGUUCUGCCUAGGUCAUGGAUUUUGUCAGUGGGAACCGAAAAUGCGCCGGACUUUUUUUGUUGUUGUUAUCAUCACUAACAGCUUUCUUAAUUAACCUGCUGAUAAAAUCAACAGCACAGUUCACUGUUCACUGUUUGCUCUCCAGCCACUACGGAGUCAAGAUGCUCUUCGAGAAGCACAGAACACUUGCCUGAGGUUGUUUUGUUUUCCAGAAAGAAAGGGGAAGAAAAACAAACCCAAACCCUCACAACCACAGCGAGUUUGACUUAAUGGCUAAAACUUCUUUCUGAUUGUUUUGCCCCGAGUAACAGCCCUUCCUUAACUAAUAACUUUAAUUAUAGCAACCGCUAGUUAUAAAAGUGUACCUUUUCUCCUGACUUGGUCUGUUCCUGCAAAACUUCUAAUUAUGAAACCAAGGAUCAGCAAGUCACUUUCCUAGGUUUUCAUUAGAGGCGAUGCAGGGUCCUGGGAUUACACAUAUUGCGUAUUUCAUGCCCUGUACCUCAGUCUGCCAGGGCUCAAAUCCAUCUGCUGGGCUUCGUCUUUAAAGUUUUCCUUGACCCACACGAUGGGUACAAAGCAAAAACGGGAUCCUGAUUCUCAAAGAGCUACGGGCAGAGAAUACCACAGUUGAGAAUGUUGUGUAACACCUUUGAGGUGAAGAGAUUUCCCAAUGAAACUCAAAGUCUUCCUUUCAUCUAAAAAAGGUCACUAGGAUGGUGCAGUUACUAAAAACAACAACAACAAACCCAAUUGUUUAAAUUUAAGGCAUCCAAAAAACAUCCAAGAUAAGCCUAUUCUCUGGUUCUGUACCCACAACAUUUUCAUCUGAUGAUGAAGAAUAUGAUAUUUUCCUGUACUUCAGGCAGUUGUGUCAGUGUUCUUGAGAUGGGAUGGGUAAAGGCCAUGUUGGCCUCAGUCAUAAUGAGAAGUUAUUUAAAUGAUCUAUUUCAGCUGCAUUAGUGCCAGGUAAGGAUGGUCUCAUGUUUGAUGACACACAUUUAGUGGUUGAUUGUGAUGUUUUUCUAGAUUGUUCUGCCUCCUCAUGCAGCAAUCUGGCUUGCUUUCCCCAUGCUGCCUUGCAAAGCUGUCCUUUCUCUUUGAAAAUCACUCAGCAGUCUCAGAGGCCCUCGCACUUAGUGGAUCUCCUGGGAUGCUCUUGGGGUGGACAUUCAUCCCCAGCCUCACCCCCACCCCCAGGUCAUCCAUGGUUGGCCCUCACUUUCCUAUCCAAGUUGGGAGAAGCGGAAGGGCAGUUCUCAGCAUGGGGCUGCCAUGUGCGGAGAGCUGAUGGCAGGGUGGCUGGUGGGGCACUAUCUACCCUUUCUGUUGGAAUGAUGGACCCCACCACCCACACACCACAAGAAUUUCCCACAGCCUCAGGUGAAAAAUUGAUUCCUGACAAAGUGAUUUCUAACCAGUGACUAUCUGCUUAACGGGAUGCUAACUACAAUAGUUUCCCUUCUCAGAGUUCUUUCCUGGUCCCUCUUUUUGUGUCCUCCCUUUCUCUUACUGUUUGUUGUUCAUCGUGUACAGAGACAUAUAAUGCCUGGCUAAUCAGAAUUGUUAACCUAAGAAAAAAAGAAAAAAAA
ensembl:lncRNA